rnacentral:rRNA from 1 species
CAGGUAGGUGGGUAUGCAAGUCGGUUGUGAAAUCCUCUGGCUCAACCAGAGAAUGGCAGCCGAAACUACAUACCUUGAGUCCAGCAGAGGGAAUCGGAAUCCUAGGUGUAGCGGUGAAAUGCGUAGAUAUCUAGGAGAACACCAGUGGCGAAGGCGGAUUCCUGGGCUGGCACUGACACUGAUCUGCGAAAGCGUGGGUAGCAAACAGGAUUAGAUACCCUGGUAGUCC